GUUCUUACUUUGACAGCACAUUUGCUAAAACUAAAACUAUACAGACAAAAUUGGCAUGACUCCUCCAUAUUAGAUGACACACAAAUUGUGAAGCAUUUCAUAUGUUU